CGGGACGGGUGAGUAAUGUCGUGGGAAACUGCCUGAGGAGGGGGAAUAACUACUGGAAACGGUAGCUAAUACCGCAUAACGUCGCAAGACCAAAGAGGGGGACCUUCGGGCCUCUUGCCAUCGGAUGUGCCCAGAUGGGAUUAGCUAGUAGGUGGGGUAACGGCUCACCUAGGCGACGAUCCCUAGCUGGUCUGAGAGGAUGACCAGCCACACUGGAACUGAGACACGGUCCAG
rnacentral:rRNA from 1 species